AACAUGAGAUUGGGGCAUUUUUGCAUUAAAUCUUGAAAACGAUCCCAUGCUUCAGCGAAACUCUCACCAUCAACUUGCCGAAAUCGCAAGACAUCAUUACGGAGCU